GCGCAGCAGUUGCGAAAACUUGUCAAUGCACGAAAGUGUGAACGGGCUACCCCGAGUGCCGUCCGCUGAGGAUGGCUUUUCCACGCUGUAAGGAGGCGUGGGAAUAAGGAGAGGGCAAGUCUGGUGUCAGCCGCCGCGGUAAUACCAGCUCUCCGAGUGGUAGGGACGAUUAUUGGGCUUAAAGCGUCCGUAGCCGGCUCAGCAAGUCUCCCGUUAAAUCCAACGAUUCAAUCGUUGGACUGCGGGAGAUACUGUUGAGCUAGGAGGCGGGAGAGGCCGACGGUAUUCCCGGAGUAGGGGUGAAAUCUUAUAAUUCCGGGAGGACCACCAGUGGCGAAGGCUGUCGGCUAGAACGCGCUCGACGGUGAGGGACGAAAGCUGGGGGAGCGAACCGGAUUAGAUACCCGGGUAGUCC
rnacentral:rRNA from 1 species